rnacentral:rRNA from 1 species
UAGCCGUAAACGAUACUCGCUAGGUGUCGGCCACGGUGCGACCGUUGUCGGUGCCGUAGGGAAGCCGUGAAGCGAGCCACCUGGGAAGUACGGCCGCAAGGCUGAGACUUAAAGGAAUUGGCGGGGGAGCACCACAACGGGUGGAGCUUGCGGUUUAAUUGGAUUCAACGCCGGAAAUCUUACCGGGACCGACAGCAACAUGAAGGCCAGGCUGAAGACUUUGCCGGAUUAGCCUGAGAGGUGGUGCAUGGCGUAGUCGUGU